GACGAACGCUGGCGGCGUGCUUAACACAUGCAAGUCGAACGAUGAAGAAGAGCUUGCUCUUCGGAUUAGUGGCGAACGGGUGAGUAACACGUGACUAACCUGCCCCUUUCUCUGGGAUAACGCUCCGAAAGGAGUGCUAAUACCGGAUACUCACAUCGAGGCACAUGCCUUGAUGUGGAAAGUUUUUCGGAAAGGGAUAGGAGUCGCGGCCUAUCAGCUUGUUGGUGAGGUAACGGCUCACCAAGGCGACGACGGGUAGCCGGCCUGAGAGGGGGACGCGCCACACUGGGACUGAGACACGGCCCAGACUCCUAGGGGGGGCAGCAGUGGGGAAUAUUGCACAAUGGGAGAAAGCCUGAUGCAGCGACGCGGCGUGAGGGAGGAAGGUCUUCGGAUUGUAAACCUCUUUCAGUAGGGACGAAGCGAAAGUGACGGUACCUAAAGAAGGAGCACCGGCUAACUACGUGCCAGCCGCCGCCGUAA
rnacentral:rRNA from 1 species